AUAAUAGAAAGUCCAUAGGCAAUUAUAUGAAGGGACAAUUCUUGAAAAACAGAUUCUUGAUUUUUUUCUUGGCAUACACUUUCUAAUUAGUUUUACUUUAGCACCUUUCUUUUUUAUAAUUUGCCAAAAUGUACUAUCUUUUAUUCACAGCUUUUGGUCCCAGGAUUAUUCAACCUAGCUCAUAAAAGAAAACAAUAUUGCAUUUCUAAGCAUUUGUUCCUAGAAUUGGCAAGUUUAGUCGAGAAAAGCUGGAAUGACAUUAAAACAACACCCUGUCAUCUUUCAAUCAGUCCUUAGCUGAAGUUAAAAUCCCACUCAUUCUACAUGAUUCAGUCUCUGUAGCAUAGAGUAAGUAGCCCCUUAGCAAGAACCAAAAUGGAGGGUAUGGAUGAGGCUCAGAUCAUCACCAUCUGGAGAAUAGAGACAGUGCCUGAGUCGCCAGGAAAUCUGUCCCCUGCUCAUCCCAGAAUCCCCAAUGUUUGACUUUUUAAGGGAACAUGUGACGGAUAAUGCCAUCUGAGAAGGAUUGCCUCCUUUACUGUAUGUUUUCCAGUGAGAUGAAGAUUUUGGUCAUUUCCUCAUUCAUAUUCCUGCUUUUCAAAACCCAAGCAAGAAAGGAAACUUCUGCAGUGACUUUCUCAUUAUGAAAUCUUAGCAUUCACUAACUGGCCAUGAUGGACAACCAGCCAAAUGGACACAUAUACACUAGUCUGUACCUGCAGAGAAAGAACUGCAAAUCUCUGUGAUCAGAAAACUAUCCUAUCUUGUACAUUAUUAAAAGUCUGCCUCCAAAAAGUUUACUUCUGGAAUACUGUAAUUGAAUAGAAUCAGGGAUUCUACCUGUGUCCUUCAACUUUCACAUCUUGUCUACUGAAGUAAAGGUUGAAUUUGCAUUAGACCCAAUGCAGUAGACACAGUAGUCUGUGAAUGGAAAUGGGCAAACCUGUGACCUCCCAAAAAUUAAAUGUGAAAGUUUUGUUUGUAUAUACUCAUGGCAUUAUUCUUUUAAUGAAGAGAUAAUCUGUAUACUUUUCUUUUUUAAAAGAUACUUUUAUUUCUUUAUUGUUGUGAACUGACACAGCUAAUUUCUUUCUGAAGAGGUUCUUUGGUUGAGAAUGGUAGCAACUAGUUUGAUGUGGGGGGUGAGAGUUAGCAGUCCCCCACAAUCUUACUUUCAGGUUAUAAUGAAAGAAAUCUCUUACAAAAUUUUUACACAUGGUGAAGGCUGCUCUCUGCUUCCAAGAUAUCCUCUUCUCACUGCAGCCUUACAUGACAGAAAGGCAAAAAGGGACUAAUGCUGUGUCCUCACAUGCAGAGAGAUGGAAGGGCCAGGCAGCUCUCGGAAACCCCUUUUAUAAGGUCAUUAAUCCCAUUCACAAGGGUGGAGCC